rnacentral:rRNA from 1 species
AUUGAACGCUGGCGGAAUGCUUUACACAUGCAAGUCGAACGGCAGCACGGGGGCAACCCUGGUGGCGAGUGGCGAACGGGUGAGUAAUACAUCGGAACGUGCCCAGUCGUGGGGGAUAACGUAGUGAAAAUUACGCUAAUACCGCAUACGAUCUAUGGAUGAAAGCGGGGGAUCGCAAGACCUCGCGCGAUUGUAGCGGCCGAUAUCAGAUUAGGUAGGUGGUGGGGUAAAGGCCCACCAAGCCAACGAUCUGUAGCUGGUCUGAGAGGACGACCAGCCACACUGGAACUGAGACACGGUCCAGACUCCUACGGGAGGCAGCAGUGGGGAAUUUUGGACAAUGGGCGAAAGCCUGAUCCAGCCAUUCCGCGUGCAGGAUGAAGGCCCUCGGGUUGUAAACUGCUUUUGUACAGAACGAAAAGGUUUCUACUAAUACUAGGAGCUCAUGACGGUACUGUAAGAAUAAGCACCGGCUAACUACGUGCCAGCAGCCGCCGUAA